GCGAGUGAAGCGGUAAGAGCUCAAAUUUGAAAGCUGGCUCCUUCGGGGUCCGCAUUGUAAUUUGCAGAGGAUGUUUCGGAAGCAGCCCCCAUCUAAGUACCCUGGAACGGGUCGUCAUACAGGGUGAGAAUCCCGUAUGGGAUGGGGUGUCUGCGUCCAUGUGAAACUCCUUCGACGAGUCGAGUUGUUUGGGAAUGCAGCUCUAAAUGGGUGGUAAAUUUCAUCUAAAGCUAAAUAUUGGCCGGAGACCGAUAGCGCACAAGUAGAGUGAUCGAAAGAUGAAAAGCACUUUGAAAAGAGAGUUAAAAAGCACGUGAAAUUGUUGAAAGGGAAGCGCUUGCGACCAGACUCGCCUCGGGGGUUCAACCGGCAUUCGUGCCGGUGUACUUCCCCCGGGGCGGGCCAGCGUCGGUUUGGGCGGUCGGUCAAAGGCCCUCGGAAUGUAACGCCUCUCGGGGCGUCUUAUAGCCGAGGGUGCCAUGCGACCUGCCCGGACCGAGGAACGCGCUUCGGCUCGGACGCUGGCAUAAUGGUCGUAAGCGACCCGUCUUGAAACACGGACCAAGGAGUCUAACAUCUACGCGAGUGUUCGGGUGUCAAACCCGUGCGCG
rnacentral:rRNA from 1 species